rnacentral:rRNA from 1 species
AAUCAACGCUGGCGGCGCGCUUAACACAUGCAAGUCGAACGAGAAAGUCCGCAAGGAUGAGUACAGUGGCGUACGGGUGAGUAACACGUGGAUAAUCUACCUCCGGGUGGGGAAUACCGCUGGGAAACCGGCGACAAUACCGCAUACGCUCGAGAGAGGAAAGCCGAAAGGCGCCGGGAGAGGAGUCCGCGGCCGAUUAGCUAGUUGGUAGGGUAAUGGCCUACCAAGGCUACGAUCGGUAGCCGGCCUGAGAGGGCACACGGCCACACUGGCACUG